CAUCAAAUAUGACUGCAGCAGAUUUCCUUCAGGCUUUUUUUUUUUAAAUAAAUUUUUGUUGAAGGGAAACACAGAAAGUGCACAAAUGGUAAGACCACAGUCCAACGAACCAUCACAAAGUGAGCACAGCCCUGCACCUAAAUGACUGAACGUUACCAAAGCCCCAGAGAGCUCUCAUGCCCCUCCCGGUCGCUGCUCCUCUCUGGAAGGUGACCACCAUCCUGACUUCUAAUAACAAAGAUGAGUUUGGACUACCUCGAACCUUGAGUCACAAAGAUGAGUUUGGACUACUUCGAACCUUGAGUCACUGGAAUCACAUGAUAAAGAAACUGAGGUAUGGAGUGUUGAAGUAACUUGCCCAAGGUUAUUCACACCACUGGUUGAUCUGUAUUCUCAGACAAGUUUGUCUGAGGAAGGAGCAGCCCACAUGGGAAUCGAAGCCUGAGAGGGAACGGUUGAAAGGGAAACUCUAUCCAGGAGAUGCAGCAUGCAGCUCUGGUAAGCAGUUUAUAAAGGAGGCUUGCUUCCAGCAACUUCAGUGCUGUCAAGUGGAGUCCAAGUAUCCCUCAGAACCCAGGAUCGUCACGGUACCCAGCCAUCAUGACUGCAUGCCUUGCACCGGGCCCUUAUGUUGACCCUCACUCCUGAAAUUGUUACAAGCCCCCAGGUGUCUAUUCCUGGUUUUGAACUGCCUAAAAAAUUGUGCUCACUGAUGGAAAUGCAAAUAGUGACACAAACUGAAGCCUUUGCCUGAAGAAGAGAAAAUAAAUUAAAUAGGAUAACAAAAAAAAAUAGGCAGCAAAAGAAAAAAAAUUUAAUAUCAAAGAAUUGAGAGGGCUUUAGAAAAACUUUUAAAGGCCUCAUAUACUUUGCACAAUAGUCUUAAAAUGUGCAGCUCAAGUGUGAAGUCAAAGACGUCUUAUGCUGCCAUACAAUUAUGCCAAAGAACACACUGAGCUCAUCUUUAUUCAUUCUAGGAAUUAGAAUGUAGCUGCACUUACUAACACCUUAUGUGAAAUAUAACAUAAACAAUGUAUUUUUCACAAUUUUUAGUUUAACUUUUUAUGAUACAGUCUCUAUCAAACAAUUGAUGAUGAGAUUUCCAUCCCAAUAUAACUGAAUUUAUUUUCGGUGGCCUUUUUCCAGUAGGAAUUCUCCUUGAUAUUGUGAAUCGUCUGAACAUCCAAUAUCAACAGGAGGUUGUGUCAAAUUGGUAGAAUUACGGAUGUCUUCUAUUUGCUUCUUGUGCCUUUCUAUCUUUUUCAAAUACUUCUUUAUAAACACAUAAACACUUAUAAUCAGGAAAAAUAAAAAUAAGCAGUAGGCAAGCAAGCAAAUGUUUAAUUUGACUUGCUGAAAAUAAUUAAAUCCACCUGAUUUAAAGCACAGCUGUGGCUGCCCACUUGCUGCUUCCCCUCGAAGCCUCCUCAUCACCGCUGGGACCCAUGAACUCCCACACAGUAAGCGCCUUUGAUGCUCCUAAUGCCAAGCAUCACAUAGGAGGGAGGGAGACAGUUACUGAGGGGUUUAGAACCAGCAGGGCUUUGAUUGUGACAGAGCAACUGGGGUAAACAUGCUCUUCUUCCUUCCCCACCGGCAUUAUUUCUGAAGUCGGGAAAAGCAAACCCUGGGCUGUGUAGGGCCUGGUACAAAUAAUGUUUCGCAGGGUGGCUAUUUACAUAAACAAUUUGAAUCACCCCAAGUCAUUGUGACAGCACCAUUCUUGUGGCUUAAUCUCUCUCUGGGGCACUCUCCUGGAAAACCCCACAAGUUCCAGCCACAGAUACCCCAGAAAAACUCCAGAGAUACAAGUCCUAGAGCUCCUGGGGUAUCUGUAGGCUAGAAUGUAGAGGGUUGGAGAGUUCUCCAAAGGGAAGAAUUGGGAAUGAACCCUUGUAUGUCCCAUAGGGCUUGGGGCACCCCAUCCAGUUGACAUUGCCAGACUUGGCCAAUCCCAGGGAUGGGAGAAGAACUUGGACAUUGUUGAGGAAGAGCCUAGAGUGACAUUAUGCCAUCCAUGUCUGUUUCUCUUUAUCCUUCUCUCUUUCUUCCUCUGCCCAGCACACUAAGUCUCAUGGGGACAAGUCACAGCACAUUUGAGGGAAGCAUCCAAUGCUCACAUCCAAAGCCUUCUUUUGUGUCCUCUAAUUAGUAAAAAAUUUAUGUCCCAGUGUGGAGCCCAGGUGUUUUGAGUCUCUCCACCUCAUGUGGUAUUAUACAAGCUAGAUCAUUCAUUUUUUCUCCCUGUAUUGUUUGAUAGGCAGAUCAUGGCACCCUGCUAUCUAGGUACUGGUCAUCAGUCCCUUGAUUCAAGUGUAUGUGUAACAGCUUUAAUGAGAUAUAAUUCACAUACCAUAUACUUCAUUCCUUUACAGUGCACAAAUUCAGUGGCUUCCAGUGUAUUCACAGAGUUGUGCAACUAUCACCAUAAUCCAUUGUAGAUAAUUUUCAUCACUACAAAAAGAAACCCCAUACCUCCUAGCCUUCGGUUCCCAACCUCCUCCCAUCAGCUCCUGAUAUUGACUGUUUUUCUGUCUUAAUAGAUUAGCCUAUUCUGGACAUUUCAUAGAAAUGCAAUCAUGCAAUGUGUGAUCUUCCGUGACUGGCUUCUUUCACUUAACACAGUGUUUUCAAGGUUCAUCGAUGUUAUCACAUGUAUCAAUACUGCAUUCCCUUUUAUGUGAUAAAAUAAACAUAACAUAAAAUCCACCAUUUUAAA